UGAUCUUGCCGAAUUCUGCUUAAAAGCUCGUAGGGCGGUUUGUCACGUUCCUCUGUGAACCCCGCAAACUCAACUGCGGGCUUGCAUUGCGAAUACGGGCAGACUUGUAGUACUGCAGGGGAGACUGGAAAUUCCUGGUGUAGCGGUGAAAUGCUCAUAUAUCUGGAGGAACACCGGUGGCGAAGGCGGGUCUCUGGGCAGUAACUGACGCUGAGGAGCGAAAGCGUGGGUAGCGAACAGGAUUAGAUACCCUGGGUAGUCCACGCCGUAAAACGGUGGGCGCUAGGUGUGGGUUUCCUUCCACGGGGAUCCGUGCCGUACUAACGCCAUUAAGCGCCCCCCUGGGGAGUACAGCCCCAAGGCUAAAACUCAUAAGGAAUUGACGGGGGCCCCGCACAAGCGGCAGAACCAUGUGGAUUAAUCGAUGCAACGCGAAGAACCCUUACCUGGGGUUUGACAUACACCGGACGCCCCAAAAAUGGGGUUUCCCUUGUGGCCGUGUACAAGGUGGUGCAUGGGCUGUCAGUCAACUCCUGUCGUGAAAAUGUUUGGGUUAAGUCCCGCAAAAAGCGCAACCCUUUGUCCUGUUUUCCCAGCAGAUUAAUUUGGGGAUUCACAAGGAAACUGCCCGGGUCACUCGGAAGAAGGGGGGAAAACUCAAUUCACUGGCCUUUAUGUCCCGGGUUCAACCAUUCUACAUGGGCCGGAAAAAGGCUGCGAUCCCGGGGGGACCAUCCCUAAGC
rnacentral:rRNA from 1 species